rnacentral:sRNA from 1 species
AUUAAUAAUAUAAGGGAGGGGGGUAGG